GGGAUAUUCAUCGUCAGCGAUGCUGGUACGUGUGCGGUUCGCGAUGCCGGAGACUUCGGUCUCGCGGCACGCGUCCGCAUGUUUCUUAUUGCCUGGUAUCGUCGGCGUGCACUUCUCCCCUAGUAGGACGUCGCGACCCGUUGGGUGUCGGUCUACGGCCCGGGUGGGUGCCUGUCUCGUGUGCGCUUUACGGCGUCACUGCGGGGCAGACCCCCGGCUGCCCGACCGGCUGCCCGGCGGUACUCGCAAGGUAUCUGGCCGCAAAUAUUCGAACUGCGUCCGGCCCGUCGCAAGCGAGGCGAGUGUUUCCCGAAUGCACGGAUCUAACGCCGUCAUCGGGCCUUGCCGGCUGUUGGUCGACGGUGUCAUAGGACWGGU
rnacentral:rRNA from 1 species